rnacentral:rRNA from 1 species
GUUUCUGGCCAUAACGCCGCGAACAUACCCAAUCUUAUGUGAUCUCAGAAGCUCAGCAGGUUUGAGCCUAGUUAGUACUUGGAAGGCAGAAAAU